AACGAACGCUGGCGGCAGGCUUAACACAUGCAAGUCGCACGGGAAGCAUCCUUCGGGGUGUGGAUAGUGGCGGACGGGUGAGUAACGCGUGGGAACAUGCCCAGAGGUGGGGGACAACAGUUGGAAACGACUGCUAAUACCGCAUAUGUCCUGAGGGACAAAGAUUUAUCGCCUUUGGAUUGGCCCGCGUUUGAUUAGGUAGUUGGUGGGGUAAUGGCCUACCAAGCCUCCGAUCUAUAGCUGGUCUGAGAGGAUGAUCAGCCACACUGGGACUGAGACACGGCCCAG
rnacentral:rRNA from 1 species